CUUCGUUCCGAAGCUUUACGAAAUGACCGGUGAAGGCUUCACACAGCACAACAACACAGCGGCAAACAACAACAAACAUCGAAACAAAGCACAGAAACUGAUACACGCAGUUUCGAGUUCCCAUGGCCAUGGCCCAUGGAGAUGGAGCCUUCGUAGUUUUGUCUCUCUUCUCCAUUGCGUUUUCGGAUAUUCCCUCUCAUCGAUUUUAAAAAAACAAACAAACAAGAAAUCUGUCACUAAAAAUAAGAGAGAGAACAAUCCAAGCAUCAGACCAUCUUCCGCCAUCCCGCCCAUCAAAUCUCGUCCCCUUGAUCCUUCUUUUUCUGGGAUUUUUCAGCAAAUGAUUCUGAUCUCGUGAAGGACCCGAGAUUGAUCUGAGCCUGUUUCUGGGUUCAGUAAAAGCCAUGCCAAUCCGCCGUAGCAGCCGCGGUGGCGAAAGAGGCAAGGCAGGGAGAAAAGAGAGAGAAUCGACAAGGAAACACGAGCAUUGUUCUUGUUGGCAACCACCUUCCAUGGUUAGAGGUAUGGGGAGAUUCUUCUUCGUGGGCUGUUACCCUGUAAUCCGCUGUUUCGGAUUGGACGAAAGACGUCAUCGUCACCACAUUCACCAUAAACAUUUCUCCUGAUUCUCUGGUUAUUGAUUCUUGGAUUUGAUUCAACAUUUGUGUAUAUAUAUGUGUACAUACUAUGUGAGAUUGGUAAUACCCCUAUUGUCACGCCACGGACAACAUCAUCAGGACGGUAUUUAUAGGCAUGUGAAAGGUUUCUUGAUUUCUGAAAACUUGUAAAGCAGAUCCCUUUUUGAUUUCUUGAAAUCGAAGGAGGUAAAGGACAAUAAUUUAUCUGAGAUUACAAGAUUUC